AUUGAACGCUGGCGGCAGGCCUAACACAUGCAAGUCGAGCGGAGCGGCGGACGGGUGAGUAAUGCCUAGGAAUCUGCCUGGUAGCGGGGGAAAACGUCCGGAAACGGGCGCUAAUACCGCAUAAUAUCAGAUGAGCCUAGGUCGGAUUAGCUAGUUGGUGGGGUAAAGGCCUUCCAAGGCGACGAUCCGUAACUGGUCUGGGAGGAUGAUCAGUCACCCUGGAACGGAGACAGGGUCCAGGCGCCUGCGGUAGGCAGCAUUGGGGAAUAGUGGACAAUGGGCGAGAGCCUGAUCCAGCCAUGCCGCGUGUGUGAAGAAGGUCUUCGGUUUGUAAAGCACUUUAAGUUGGGAGGCGUUACCAACAGAAUAAGCACCGGCUAACUUCGUGCCAGCAGCCGCGGUAAUAC
rnacentral:rRNA from 1 species